GUUGAAUUGAAGCUUAACUAGGUGACGAGUCGGUGAAUCAAGUAGCACCGAAACCAUAAGUUGUACUUUCUUUUGGAGUACGAGUUUUGCAGGCAUUGUAGAUAUCCAUUGUUGAUCGUUGUGUGGUUGUACCCUCUCUUAGGGUAGCAUGUCAGGAAGGCUGGACUAGUUUUGGCGAAAUUUUGUAGAUAGGGAUGUAGUUGCAGCCUAUGUUUAUAUCUAGUUUAUUGUAUAGUUUAAUGAUUUCUUGAGACUUCCGCUGUGUUUGUAAGAACGAUAUAUUUUGUGUUAUCAAUAAAGUGACUGUUGGUUAA